rnacentral:rRNA from 1 species
GACGAACGCUGGCGGCGUGCUUAACACAUGCAAGUCAACGAUGCUUAUGUAGCAAUAUAUAAGUAGAGUGGCGCACGGGUGAGUAACACGUAUGUAAUCUGCCUUUAGCUCUGGAAUAACACUUCUAACGAGGUGCUAAUACUGGAUGACGCAGCGGCACCGCAUGGUGACAGUUGUUAAAGCUUCGGCGGCUAAAGAUGAACAUGCGCCCCAUUAGGUAGUUGGUAGGGUAGUGGCCUACCAAGCCGACGAUGGGUAGCUGGUCUGAGAGGAUGAUCAGCCACACUGGGACUGAGACACGGCCCAGACUCCUACGGGAGGCAGCAGUGAGGAAUAUUGCGCAAUGGACGAAAGUCUGACGCAGCAACGCCGCGUGCGGGAUGAAGGCCUUUUAGGUCGUAAACCGCUGUAGCAGGGAAAAAUAUCCGCCUCGGGUGGAUUGAUGGUACCCUGAAAGUAAGCCUCGGCUAACUACG